AACACAUGCAAGUCGAACGAGGACGGGAUUUUAGUUUACUGAAAUUGUCAGCUAAGUGGCGCACGGGUGAGUAAUAUAUAGUUAACCUGCCCCAAAGAAGAGAAUUAUUGAUGGAAACGUCUUGUAACUCUCUAUAUGCCUUUAUUACAUAAGUAAGCAAGGGAAACAUUUAUGGCUUUGGGAUGGGACUGUACAGUAUCAGAUAGUUGGUGAGGUAAUGGCUCACCAAGUCAAUGACGCUUAACUGGUUUGAGAGGAUGAUCAGUCACACUGGAACUGAGACACGGUCCAGACUCCUACGGGAGGCAGCAGUGGGGAAUAUUGCACAAUGGAGGAAACUCUGAUGCAGCAACGCCGCGUGGAGGAUGACACAUUUCGGUGCGUAAACUCCUUUUAUAUAAGAAGAUAAUGACGGUAUCAUAUGAAUAAGCACCGGCUAACUCCGUGCCAGCAGCCGCGGUAAUACGGGGGGUGCAAGCGUUACUCGGAAUCACUGGGCGUAAAGAGCAUGUAGGCU
rnacentral:rRNA from 1 species